rnacentral:lncRNA from 1 species
AUGGAGGAUUUCUUUCAAUCUCUCACAAGUCUGAGCCAGCAAGGUCCCUGUGGUCCACAAUCCCUAGAGAAGCUUUCAUUUCUGCAGCUAUUGCUGAAACUGAAGUCGAAGAAAGUAGAGGUUCAUUCCUGAUCAAAGAUAAACAUGUUCAUUUCGUAUGUAAUCACCAAACCAUUGAAGAGAUAAACAUCAUAAACCAAUCUGAUAUCACUACGUCCUCACACGAUCAAGAUCAAUUUUUGCCAAAGAAUUCCCAGUUUCCUGUUUUGAUGAUCACAGGGAAAGUUUAUGGUGUCAAUAAAACAAAGAAGGUUAGAUUUCCAAGACGAAAAGAGUUGAUGGAAUCUUCAGAGAAAGAAACUUCCACUUCUGCAAGAUAUUGGCUUCUGUUUGAUCAAAAAAACUGUAAUCAACUUGGUUUCCAAGUGAGAAUUGGAAAACCAGAUUUACAACUUCCACAGAGAGUUUCUCCAAGAAGUUACAGAAGCUUUUCUCUAAAAUUUGGUCGAAUUCGGAGACGUAGAGCUGGGUGGUUUGGAUUUCUGUCAAGAAAAAAAACUGUCGCUGAGGAGAACGUGGUGAUGAAAAGUGCCGGAGUUAGUGAUUUCAAUAGGAUUUGUUUAACAUAUGCAAGUGAAAGAAAUGAGAGAUUCUUUGGUUUCGGCGAGCAAUUUUCUCAUUUAGACUUUAAAGGAAAGAGGGUCCCCAUUUUUGUUCAAGAACAAGGGAUUGGAAGAGGCGAUCAACCUAUUACCUUUGCAGCUAAUUUAGUUAGCUACAGGUACAUUUUUAUUAUUUUCUCAUAGAGACUUACCAUUUAUGUUGAAAAUCUUUCUAACUCAACCCUUGUGUGAAAACUAUGUCAAUCAUAAGGUUUUUAAUAAAAGACUCAAACGAGCACUACUGUCUAAUGUAGGGCAGGGGGGGACUGGAGCACAACUUAUGCUCCUUCACCAUUCUACAUGACAUCAAAGAUGAGGUCACUUUACUUGGAGGGUUAUGACUAUUCAGUGUUUGAUCUAACAAGAGAUGAUAGAAUUCAAAUACAGGUAGGUGACUUUUGACAAUUCCUGUCUUCCUGCUUAAUUAUGAUCUUGUUAAUCCCAGAAAUUUUCAAAUAAUGAUAGUGUAAACCAAGCGAAAACGUUAAAAUUUUGAAUCGCGCACUUUCAGAAAUGUUAACCAGGCCAACAGCAACUCAAUACAACAGUAUCUGCUGCAUAAAACUUACCUGUAUUUUUCCUUGAUACACAAGACAAUCUUAUCCCGUACCAUAUCAAAAAGAACAUUCAGGCCAGAAGAAAUAAUCCCAACACAUGUAGUGGUAAAGCAGAGAAUAUGAAGGAAAGAAUGUAUAAAUCCUUAAAUGUACAUUUUGUUCAAAUUCUCAUACUCACCUCAAUCGUUGCAGUUACAUGGGAACUCAUUUGAAGGUCGGAUACUGCACGGCAACUCACCUUGUGAGCUCAUUGAACAUCUCACAGAAAGCAUUGGAAG